rnacentral:rRNA from 1 species
UUGCGUAGGUGGCAGAGUGUGUCGGUAGUGAAAGCGUGUGGCUCAACCAUAUAUACAUUACCGAAACUGCUCAGCUAGAGGACGAGAGAGGUUAUUGGAAUUCCUAGUGUAGGAGUGAAAUCCGUAGAUAUUAGGAGGAACACCGAUGGCGUAGGCAGAUAACUGGCUCGUUCCUGACACUAAGGCACGAAAGCGUGGUAGCAAACG